UACAGAGGUGGCGAGCGUUGUUCGGAUUUACUGGGCUUAAAGGGUGCGUAGGUGGUUUCGUGUGUCGGAUGUGAAAUCCCACCGCUUAACGGUGGAACUGCAUUCGAAACUGCGGAACUUGAGUGCAGGAAGGGAGAGCGGAAUUCUUGGUGUAGCGUUGAAAUGCGUUGAGAUCAAGAAGAACACCGGUGGCGAAGGCGGCUCUCUGGAAUGCAACUGACACUGAGGCACGAAAGCUAGGGGAG
rnacentral:rRNA from 1 species